GUAUCUCACUUAAUCAUUUCCCUACCACUGGUGUACCUCGUUCCCUCUUAUUCUCUGCCUGUGGCACGUAAUAGUCUAAUCUGCUGUGGGCUGUAAUAUUUUGGUUUCAUUUCAGUUGCAGAGUUUAGUGCGCAAGUGCUGGGUAGUGUUGGUGACCUGUGCUAUACAGGAGGUCAGACCAGAUGACCUUGUGGACCCUUCUGGCCUUAAAUUAUAAAAUUUGAUGACUCCAAGGUCAGAAAGCUUUUCUUUGCCGUUAUGGAGGUAACACUUGGGGGCUUGCUGCAGACUGGCAUGGGAAUCUUAACCUUUUCAUAAAGUUAAAUAAUCUCUGAGAACUUCCCUUACCAUCCACAAUUGGGUGCAUCGCUGCCCUUCCCUUUUUCAGUCACAACUUUUCUAACUACAGCAAUUACUAUAAUUAAUAUAUUUGUAGUUUCUUUUAAUGCAGUUUAGCAGUGGAUGCAAGAAGGAGGUGGCAGAACCAUGAGACCAGAAAGCUCUCUUUCCCAUAAGCAAGUGCUCCCUGGACCACAGUGGGGAACUUCAACUCUUGCACGAGGACUAACAUCCACACCCUGAACACACAGACACAAGAAGUUGAAGGAUCAAGAGGUUCUGAGUCUACAGAAAUGUCCCUUGAGGGAUUUAAUUGUCACAAACCAUUGGACUUCUCUUCCCUGGUCAGUUCUCUCUUGGUACAUAUACUGCACUCGUCACCAUGGUAUCGAUGCACUAAAAGAUACUCAAGUUCAACCAGCAGUUAUGGGCUUGAUGAAGGAGUCAGAUGAAAUUCUAUGGCUUGUGCUAUGCUGGUGGUCAGAUGUCACUAGAUGAUCAUAAUGGUCCCUUCAGACCUUUAAAUUUAUGACGAACUCUGUAGAAGAUUUUUUUAAAAGAAAGGAUAUGCCUUACAGUCCCUCUCUCAUUAAAAUCCUGGCAUCUAUACUGAUAGACAACAGAUCCAUUCACACCAUUAGCUAAAAAAGAGUUAAUAGCUCAUACAUAAGCUUCCAAGUUUUGUGCAGCUCUGUGCAUGGACAUUUAAUUCAAGUUAUUUAGUGAACUAAUUUGCAAAUCUACAUACAACCAGAAACUUUCAGUUUGUAAAAGUGGGGAUUUAUUACUCCUGAAAGGUGUUAGCUUGAUAGUCCUGGCAUAAGUCCUCUGUUUAUCUAAAGGACAGUAGCAAGGCAAGCUUCCUACAUACUAUCUGCAUUCCAUGCAUCUGAAAACGAAGAAUUCUGAAAGCAGUGUCUGUUCAUCUGUGUACAUGGCCUUCCUCUCCUCAUGCCUCCAACAGAGGAGAUAAAGGGCAGAAGAGAUUGCUGCCUUCUAGUUCCUUCUUUGCUAUGAACCCAUGAAUGAUCUGAACCAAAGAAGAUGGGUAGAGGGAUACAGAUAGGGACCAUACAUCUUGAAGAACCUCUACUAAUUCUAAGAUAAGUAACUCUCUCUUCUUCUUCAAGUACCAGUCCCUAUAUAUGUUCCAUUGUGGGUGACUGACUGACAAGCAAUACUCAAGCAGUAGGAAGGUGCAAGAAUGCAGGCAGCAGAGAUGUUCGAAGGACCGCUGUUCCAAAAGAUGCAUCAGCAGAACAGAAUGAGAGCUUCUAACCCAGGGGCAUGUUCAAGCCUGCUGCCCUGAGCAGUGAGGAAGGUUUUCUACCUUCUUAGCACAACUGACCUGUGAAGAGGACCUAAUGAGAAAGUAAUCCAGAUAAGGAUAGACCUAUACAGACAUGUAUCCCUUUUACAUGAAGGAAGGAAGGACUACGAUCUUUGUGAAUACCUGUGUGAUUCAUAGAUGUUAAGGACAGAAGGGACCAUUAUGAUCAUCUAGGCUGACAGUCUGCAUAAUACAAGUGACAGAAUUUCACCACGUGUUCAAACAUGUAACUUCUGGUUGAGACAGAGUAUCUUUUAGAAAAGUAUCAAAUGCUGAUUUAAGGACCUCAGGUGACUGAGGAUCCAUCACAUUCCUAGAAAAGUUGUUCCAAUGGUUAAUUAUUAGUGCCAGCCUGAUGAUUCUGACUGGAAGGAAGAAAGGACUUCGCUCCAUGGUCUGUGGCAUCAGUGAUUGCUCUGUCUGAAUCACUUCACUCCAAAUUCCCUGCUGCUUGGUCCUAGUCAAGUGGAGGCUGACUACCCAGCAUGAGGAGGGAGCCAGAGAUGCUAGAGACAAAUAACUUGAACCAACUGGCUUCAGGAGCAGCUGGCACCUUUUAUAACAGCUGAGGCAGUGAAGAGCCUGAACCAAACUCUUAAGUAGAGGGGAGAGACACUCAUCUUGAAGAACCUUAAUUACUGCACAAGGUGAGUAACCUUCUCUUCUUUUUCAAGAGAGAUGUCCCUGUGGGUGCUCCACUCCAGGUUAUUAUAGGACUGCAGAGCUCCAUCUCAGACCAGAGACAGCUGGGAAGAAACUGAGGAGUCUUGGUCACCCACGCGAUAUUUCAACUGCCAACGGUGUGUGAGGCAGGCACUGCGUGUGCACGACCUGUACAGGCACUGCUGUAAAAGUGAGCGAAGGCGCAGGGGUGCACCACUACCUGGAGUGGAGCACCCACAGGGACACUCAUCUCAAAGAAGAAUUUCAUGUUUCAAGUAUUAACCCUGCUUUAAAUGGAAAUCUCAAUGCAACCUUAACUCCUGAGCCACUAGAGCUCCUCCAUAACACAGACACUUUAAGCUCAACGACUUACAUAUAGAGAAACCAAAAGGAAAUAAAUUACCUUUUCCUCUAAACAUUACAGUUCAGAUAGAUUUCCUAUUAGACAUUUAUUCUCAAGAAUUUAUUUGAACUUUGUAGUAAAAAUUCUCUCUAAGCUAAGAUUUGAUUAAGUUCCUAAACCCAGGCUAAACCGAUUAAUUUACUGCUAUCAUUUUAAUUAUAUGGCCAGGAUGGGGGACCCAAGAAGGAAGCCAGUAUGUCAGGGAAAGACUUCCCCUGAACAGAAACAUCAAUUAGAAACUUGUUUCAGAGGCAGACAGUUUUUAUAUAGAUCUCCUCUUUAGGAAGCCAUCCAAAAAAAAUCUAGGUCAGCGCUUGGCCACUCCGCUGCCCUAGUUUCACACCCUGUACUUAGCUGUGAUUACUAAUAUGCUACAAAAUAAGUAUAUUACUAUUAGCUACAACAUUCAUGUGAGAUUCUAAACUGACACAUGAAACUAUAUUAGCACAGAAUCAAACAGUCCUAUAUGAUACAAAGGUGUAUUUAAGUCUGCCAGCAUCCCAGGGAAUUAGAUUUUACAAAUAGUCAGUGAUCUGAAACUGUCCUAUGUGCUGCAUCUGCUGUACCUUGAGGGACUUAGGUGUGUGCAUUAGCAUGUAAAUUUCCUGAUGUCUGUGGGACCAAUUAACACCCAUAAUAUUAAAGGAAUGUUUGGCAGUCUUGCUAUUUUCCUCUCAAAUAUAACUAUGAAUAAAAAAAUCUACUCUAGCUUGCAACAGAUAAUUUAGUGGCUAGAAUACUAAAAUGGGGCUCAAAAGACCUGGGUUCAAUUCCUGAUUCAACCACAGACUUCCCUACACCUCACAAUGUUGUGAGGCUCAUGGCUUGUCUAUACUUGAAAUGCUGUUGCAACUGCACCAUUAUAGCGCUUCAGUGUAGACACUACCUACACCAAUGGAAGGGGUAUUUAGGUUCUUAUACCAAACCUGUUGCCAUGGCAUCUGAGCACCCGGUAAAAUAUUGUUCCCAUUUCAUAGACUGGGAAAUGGUGGCAGGGAGAGGGAAAGCCAGUGAACAGUAGCAUGUUACUUUACAUAUGCUCACUAGCACAGCUGCCAUGUUGCUACAUGGCAAAGUUGUGCUCUUAAUUAUUGUACAUUUUCUGUCCUCUCAAGACCUUAGACUGCCAGGAUUCCCAGCCAAUGUUGUGACACUGAACAGGAGAGUGCUAGCCACAAUAUCACAGCUUUGGGACAAGGUUUCGUUUUAAAACCCUUUUUUAUAUGAAGUUAGUCCAAUAAAAGAUAUCCUCUCACCCACCUUGAGCUAGCACAAUCUAACACCUUCAAAACCUCUUGUCACACAACAAGGCAAGCUGGACGUCAGCAUGUGCUAAUUUGGUUGAAUUAAAGCAUAAGGGGAAGCCUUGUCUUGACUUUUAGAGUGUGUUAGAUCAAGCUAGCUAAUGUGACCUAACACCACCCAAUGCCAUCAGUGCACAUCUCUGUUCUUUCAAAAUAUGCCAGGUGAUCUUUAAUUUCUGCAGAUCCUAUAAGCCCUCUGAUUUUAGAAGAUCUCAUCUGAAUGACCUACACAUGCAGUACACUGCACGGAGUUCCAAAUGAUGUAGGGUUGAAUUAAUCUUACUGGGACAUGAAUCUGUGGUUCCAGGGAGUCUUGGUGUUUCACAACUGACGACUAUCAUGCACACUCUCACCCUAAAAUUGGCACAAGACUAGCACAGCAAAAUGGAACAUUUCUGCGGCUCUCAGUGUGACAGAUUAGUGACUAAAUCUUGCGCUGACUGUGACUUUUUCCUUUUCCAGUUGUUAGUGAGAGGAAGUAACAUUGCUGAGGCUCAGUGUCAGUAAAGCUCAGUUCCUAUUAUCAGGGCCGAUUACUGCAGCAUCAAACUCACAUGUAACUGGAAAGUUUGCACCAAUUUAGGGUGGCUAAGUUCAAUUACCCCUCCUAAACUGAUAUUAAAGGUUUUUUCCUUCAUUUAUGGGCGGAGUCAGGUCAACUCUUCCAAUAUGGUCUAUGCAAAGAAAUUCUGGGAAAACACUUGAAAGAACAUAUCCCCACAGCUUAUCUCUAUAAAAAAACAAAGCACAAGGAGGGGCUGGGUGGCUCAGGGAACUGAUCUAAGUUAAUUGCCUGCAACUGGAGGGUUCAAAACUGGUCCAACUCGAUGAUGACUUGUUGUCGUUACAGGUGAUGGCUUUUUGGGAAUAUUGCAAAAUAAGUAGGUGGUGUCAGUCUGGUUCCCAGGGUCAGAUAUCCACAGCUCAAGACAUCAUAACUAGCAUCUUACUGGCCAUCUCAGGAAAAGUUCCAAGAUUGAGAUUAAUAAGAACAUACGAAUGACCAUACUGGGUCAGACCAAAGGUCCAUCCAAUCCAGUAUCCUGUCUGCCAACAGUGGCCAAUGCCAGGUACCCCAGAGGGAGUGAACCUAACAGGUAAUGAUCAAGUGAUCUCUCUCC